UCCCUGGUGGUCCAGUGGUUAAGACUCAGCACUUUCUCUGCUGGGGCCCAGGUUCAACCCCUGGUCAAGGAA
rnacentral:tRNA from 1 species